rnacentral:rRNA from 1 species
AGAGUUUGAUUAUGGCUCAGGAUGAACGCUAGCGACAGGCUUAACACAUGCAAGUCGAGGGGCAGCACGGGAGUAGCAAUACUUGGUGGCGACCGGCGCACGGGUGAGUGACGCGUAUGCAACCUACCUAUCAGGAGGGGAAUAACCCGGCGAAAGUCGGACUAAUACCGCAUAAAACAGGGGCACCGCAUGGUGAUAUUUGUUAAAGAAAUUCGCUGAUAGAUGGGCAUGCGUUCCAUUAGGUAGUUGGUGAGGUAACGGCUCACCAAGCCGACGAUGGAUAGGGGAACUGAGAGGUUGGUCCCCCACACCGGUACUGAGACACGGACCAGACUCCUACGGGAGGCAGCAGUGAGGAAUAUUGGUCAAUGGGCGGGAGCCUGAACCAGCCAAGUCGCGUGAAGGAAGAAGGAUCUAUGGUUCGUAAACUUCUUUUGCAGGGGAAUAAAGUGCAGGACGUGUCCUGUUUUGUAUGUACCCUGAGAAUAAGGAUCGGCUAACUCCGUGCCAGCCGCCGC